CUGAAGCAUUUGCUGAAGACAGACAUCACAGCCAGCACAUGGAUGGUGUACCCAGCAGUUCAGAAAGGAAACCUGGGUGUGUUUUGAUGCAUAAAAAUGAGUCUACAAUCAAAAUCCUACCCCGGUGGGUAUUUGCGUACUCUCUGGCUGUGCUUCAGAAAAAGCUGAAUUUUGUCUUAAGCAGAAAAGCAGUGAAGACCAAUUCAUUAAAAACAACAGCCAUAGGAGGUAUGUGAUUUGUUUUGAGGAUCAUUUCAGCUCGAAAUGCAAACAGUAAUAAAAAUUCAGGGAAACAAUUGAAAAUCUACAAGGACAGCUCAUUUAAAGGCUGUGAUGAUUUUAUGUUUGGAAUUAAGGUAAUGUGC
rnacentral:lncRNA from 1 species